CCCGAGGGACCAACUCCACAUGUAGAGACCCUGCUUUGGUCAAGGGCAGAGAAAGGAGGAUGACCCUAAUGUGCAUGUUUUACCCUUUCCCUGAGGGUGGAAGGAAACAGGA